UUGCACGCUGGCGGAAUGCUUUACACAUGCAAGUCGAACGGCAGCACGGGGGCAACCCUGGUGGCGAGUGGCGAACGGGUGAGUAAUACAUCGGAACGUGCCCGGUCGUGGGGGAUAACGUAGCGAAAGUUACGCUAAUACCGCAUACGAUCUGAGGAUGAAAGCGGGGGACCUUCGGGCCUCGCGCGAUCGGAGCGGCCGAUGUCAGAUUAGGUAGUUGGUGGGGUAAAGGCCUACCAAGCCGACGAUCUGUAGCUGGUCUGAGAGGACGACCAGCCACACUGGGACUGAGACACGGCCCAGACUCCUACGGGAGGCAGCAGUGGGGAAUUUUGGACAAUGGGCGCAAGCCUGAUCCAGCCAUUCCGCGUGCAGGACGAAGGCCUUCGGGUUGUAAACUGCUUUUGUAUGGAACGAAAAGGCUCUGGCUAAUACCUGGGGCUCAUGACGGUACCGUAAGAAUAAGCACCGGCUAACUACGUG
rnacentral:rRNA from 1 species